rnacentral:rRNA from 1 species
AUACGUAGGGUGCAAGCGUUAAUCGGAAUUACUGGGCGUAAAGCGUGCGCAGGCGGUUUUGUAAGACAGAGGUGAAAUCCCCGGGCUCAAACUGGGAACUGCCUUUUUGACUGCAAGGCUAGAGUACGGCAGAGGGGGGUGGAAUUCCGCGGGUAGCAGUGAAAUGCGUAGAUAUGCGGAGGAACACCGAUGGCGAAGGCAAUCCCCUGGGCCUGUACUGACGCUCAUGCACGAAAGCGUGGGGAGCAAACAGGAUUAGAUACCCUGGUAGUCCACGCCCUAAACGAUGUCAACUGGUUGUUGGGUCUUCAUUGACUCAGUAACGAAGCUAACGCGUGAAGUUGACCGCCUGGGGAGUACGGCCGCAAGGUUGAAACUCAAAUGAAUUGACGGGG